UCAAAAGAAAGAAAGAAAGAAACCUAAAUAUAUCCUAUUAAUAACGAAAACGCCAGCUCCUGGCCCCAACAAGUUGAAGUAUGAUAGGGAAGAAUAUAGGGGAAGAGCCGGAGAGGAUAGCCUCAACCUCAAGCAUGGAAACGAGACCCAAUUCCAUAGAAGACUGGCCUUCGAGAGCAUGGAACCUACUCUCGAAACUCCGGGACCAAUCACCGCUUGUUCAGUGCAUCACCAACUUCGUUUCUAUGGAUUUGAUGGCCAACACUCUCCUAUCUGCUGGUGCAUCCCCGGCUAUGAUCCACUCCAUUGAAGAAAUUCCCGACUUCACUCCUCAUGCUCGUUCCCUCUGUAUCAACGUUGGCG
rnacentral:misc_RNA from 1 species